GUCACUUUGCCGGAGUGGUUAACGGGAUCGCCUGCUAUUUAUGGCUGCCAGCGGUUGGGCUUUGCCCGCGAGUGUUCGAAUCGCUCAGGUGACG
rnacentral:tRNA from 1 species